rnacentral:rRNA from 1 species
GUGGGGAAUCUUCCGCAAUGGACGAAAGUCUGACGGAGCGACGCCGCGUGAGUGAAGAAGGCCUUCGGGUCGUAAAGCUCUGUCAUCAGGGACGAACGGCCGGUGGAGUGGAAAGCCACCGGAUUGACGGUACCUGAGAAGGAAGCCACGGCUAACUACGUGCCAGCAGCCGCGGUAAUACGUAGGUGGCAAGCGUUGUCCGGCAUUAUUGGGCGUAAAGCGCGCGCAGGUGGGAUCUUGAGUCCAUUUUUAAAGUUCGGAGCUCAACUCCGUGAUGGGAUGGAAACUGGGAUUCUUGAGUACCGGAGAGGAAAGCGGAAUUCCCCGUGUAGCGGUGAAAUGCGUAGAUAUGGGGAGGAACACCAGUGGCGAAGGCGGCUUUCUGGACGGUGUCUGACACUGAGGCGCGAAAGCCAGGGGAGCGAACGGGAUUAGAUACCCCUGUAGUCC